UGGACAGCCAUGCCGCGUGCAGGAAGACUGCCCUAUGGGUUGUAAACUGCUUUUAUCCGGGAAUAAACCACAUUACGUGUAAUGUGCUGAAUGUACCGGAAGAAUAAGGAUCGGCUAACUCCGUGCCAGCAGCCGCGGUAAUACGGAGGAUCCAAGCGUUAUCCGGAUUUAUUGGGUUUAAAGGGUGCGUAGGCGGCCUGUUAAGUCAGGGGUGAAAGACGGUAGCUCAACUAUCGCAGUGCCCUUGAUACUGAUGGGCUUGAAUGGACUAGAGGUAGGCGGAAUGAGACAAGUAGCGGUGAAAUGCAUAGAUAUGUCUCAGAACACCGAUUGCGAAGGCAGCUUACUAUGGUCUUAUUGACGCUGAGGCACGAAAGCGUGGGGAUCAAACAGGAUUAGAUACCCUGGUAGUCCACGCCCUAAACGAUGAACACUCGCUGUUGGCGAUACACAGUCAGCGGCUAAGCGAAAGCGUUAAGUGUUCCACCUGGGGAGUACGCUCGCAAGAGUGAAACUCAAGG
rnacentral:rRNA from 1 species